AGACCCGAAACCCGGUGAUCUAGCCAUGGGCAGGUUGAAGGUUGGGUAACACUAACUGGAGGACCGAACCGACUAAUGUUGAAAAAUUAGCGGAUGACCUGUGGCUGGGGGUGAAAGGCCAAUCAAACCGGGAGAUAGCUGGUUCUCCCCGAAAGCUAUUUAGGUAGCGCCUCGUGAAUUCAUCUCCGGGGGUAGAGCACUGUUUCGGCUAGGGGGCCAUCCCGGCUUACCAACCCGAUGCAAACUGCGAAUACCGGAGAAUGUUAUCACGGGAGACACACGGCGGGUGCUAACGUCCGUCGUGAAGAGGGAAACAACCCAGACCGCCAGCUAAGGUCCCAAAGUCAUGGUUAAGUGGGAAACGAUGUGGGAAGGCCCAGACAGCCAGGAUGUUGGCUUAGAAGCAGCCAUCAUUUAAAGAAAGCGUAAUAGCUCACUGGUCGAGUCGGCCUGCGCGGAAGAUGUAACGGGGCUAAACCAUGCACCGAAGCUGCGGCAGCGACGCUGAUGCGUUGUUGGGUAGGGGAGCGUUCUGUAAGCCUGCGAAGGUGACCUGUGAGGGUUGCUGGAGGUAUCAGAAGUGCGAAUGCUGACAUAAGUAACGAUAAAGCGGGUGAAAAGCCCGCUCGCCGGAAGACC
rnacentral:rRNA from 1 species